UGCAAGUCGAGCGGACCGACGGGAGCUUGCUCCCUUAGGUCAGCGGCGGACGGGUGAGUAACACGUGGGUAACCUGCCUGUAAGACUGGGAUAACUCCGGGAAACCGGGGCUAAUACCGGAUGCUUGAUUGAACCGCAUGGUUCAAUCAUGAAAGGCGGCUUCGGCUGCCGUUUACAGAUGGACCCGCGGCGCAUUAGCUAGUUGGUGAGGUAACGGCUCACCAAGGCGACGAUGCGUAGCCGACCUGAGAGGGUGAUCGGCCACACUGGGACUGAGACACGGCCCAGACUCCUACGGGAGGCAGCAGU
rnacentral:rRNA from 1 species